CAGCAGCCGCGGUAAUACAGAGGGUGCAAGCGUUAAUCGGAAUUACUGGGCGUAAAGCGCGCGUAGGUGGUUUGUUAAGUUGGAUGUGAAAGCCCCGGGCUCAACCUGGGAACUGCAUCCAAAACUGGCAAGCUAGAGUACGGUAGAGGGUGGUGGAAUUUCCUGUGUAGCGGUGAAAUGCGUAGAUAUAGGAAGGAACACCAGUGGCGAAGGCGACCACCUGGACUGAUACUGACACUGAGGUGCGAAAGCGUGGGGAGCAAACAGGAUUAGAUACCCCUGUAGUCCCUGUCUCUUAUAC
rnacentral:rRNA from 1 species